CCAAACUGAUUUGUUUAAAAUAAAAGCUACAAUACAAUAAAAUGUGUGGACAGUGAAGAGGUCUAAAUUUUACCUUUCUACCUAUCUAUCUAUUGUCACACGUGUGUCCGAAUAUCUCCUCACGGGCUCAUCUCAGGUAUGUAAUAACCUGCUAGGACAAGAGGGGGCGCUGUUGCUAACAGGUUUUUCUCUCUCCACACCAUGCAGAAACUGCCUAUUGAGGGCCCUAAGCCCCUCCCCUUGUGGUCCACGCAACAAAAGAAACCCACCUGCCUGGAAGGAGGCGUCUUUUGUAAACAGCAGAUUGCUGCAUGGAGCUACCUGAAAGACCCAAAUCAUGACAGCUUAAGAUUGUAUUACUUUGCUUUUGUUGAAUUGCCCACCCGGGCUGUAUUUUUGAAGCCAUAAAGGCAUGCAUUUAAGAUGUGGUCCAUAGUCUUCCUCAUCAGCACAUCAACCAGAUAUUUAUAAAGUGGAGCCAUGCUUAUACGCUGCAGGAGUGGUGUUGGCAUGAGAUGCCCUCCCCUUUCUUUUCGGUGGUAAUGGAACAGGACUUGAGACAGAAGCCAUGAGGUUUUCUGUGGUGGCGACCUGCACCCCCACCACCUGAUCAGGGCA